GUACCGCUCGUCGGAGAUCAUCUCUGAUCCGCGCCAUAUCGGCUGCUUGGCUGAUCUCUCCUUGAUGAACGUUGGGGUGUUCGACAGAUGUUGCAGGUGGAUGCCUAACCUGAUAUUGGUAUGAAAGGGUUGGAACCUAGAUGCAAUCUCAUCCCGGUGACCGGUAAUCUUGGAACAAUCACCUGCAUUUCAAUUUAGCCACAUGGCGGAAGUGCAAUGCCGGGCUAGCACCUUGUCGGUUCGAGCAGGGACCAAGUGGUAGGUCACUGUUUACUGGGGCCCACAAUCUGUGGUGCUGGAAGUCCAGGAAGUACCUCAGUUCUUCCUUUGGAGAUGGAUUAGCUAAAUGGGUGGGAGGAAGAUCUUACAUCUGAGGUACAGGUUUAUGGCAUGAGACAGGAAGCCCACACCAGUUACUCCCUUGAGAAGGGAUGUGAUGGGCACAAGCUUGAAGUUGAUUGCUUCCGGCAUUGCCAUCACAGUGAGCAGCCACUCUGAGUGGUCGCUCGCUGCUGCAUUCCCUCCCCUCUUGGAGUGUAUCACUGUCACACCCUGCAUCAGUGCAGUUCACAAUUAGAAGGUUCACUGCAUGAAGCCUGAAGAUUCUCUGGUCACUCUUUCUAGAUAAUGGAAUAACUUAUAUCCUGGAUACUGGAGCAAUCAUUCCUUCAAGCUUUUGCCGUGUCACUUGGGCAUCAAAUACAUUGAAGGCCUCGGGGACCUGUUGCCAUCAGAGGGGCAGAGUGCAUGUCCCGGUGAAGAGCUGGUCGCCUAGCCUGUCCAAGUGCUCCUUGAUCUCAGAUGGAGACAGUGGAGACGAGUUGUCCUGCUUCACAUACACCACAUCCUGGCCACCCAAGCUCAGUCCAACAACGAUAUGGGUCCCAUACUUCUCGAUGAAACUGCACACCACAUUUCAGAAUAUAUCAAUCGAAGACCUGGAAGGUUAGAACAAGUCAGUCCUGCAAGUAGCUUUCUAUGCAGUCUGCAACUUGCAGGCUGCUGCUUCUUGCCUGGUCUAGUCAUUUUCCACCCAUGCAUACGGUUUUUCACACCACAUGGCAAACGUGUGGUGGACGAUGUGCGCUCUUGGAAGCGACAAAACCAAUCACUUGGUCACCGGAUGAGGUUAAGAGCUGAGCCAUUCCCUCAAGUUAAGCACUGCGCUUGAUCACCUAAGUUUGCUUGCUCGUAUCCUAUUUUGUAUUACUCCUAUUUACAAAUAUCUUUUAUGAUUAUAAUUUUGUUACUACAAACAAUAUAGUUAUACGAGAAAUUAAGGUGUUCAAGCAGUGGUAAAUAA